rnacentral:rRNA from 1 species
CCUACGGGUGGCAGCAGUGGGGGAUAUUGCACAAUGGGGGAAACCCUGAUGCAGCGACGCCGCGUGUGGGAAGACGGUCCUCUGGAUUGUAAACCACUGUCCCCAGGGACGAAGAUGACGGUACCUGGGGAGGAAGCUCCGGCUAACUACGUGCCAGCAGCCGCGGUAAUAGGUGGGGAGCGAGCGUUGUCCGGAAUUACUGGGGGAAAGGGGGGCGUAGGCGGGGAUGCAAGUUGGGUGUCAAAACUACGGGCUCAACUGGUAGGCGCACUCAAAACUGCAGCUCUUGAGUGAAGUAGAGGCAGGCGGAAUUCCAAGUGUAGCGGUGAAAUGCGUAGAUAUUAGGAGGAACACCAGUGGCGAAGGCGGCCUGCUGGGCUUUUACUGACGCUGAGGCUCGAAAGUGUGGGGAGCAAACAGGAUUAGAUACCCUGGUAGUC